rnacentral:rRNA from 1 species
CAAGCGGUGGAGUAUGUGGUUUAAUUCGAAGCAACGCGAAGAACCUUUACCAGGUCUUGACAUGGUGUUUAAGCCUAGAGAUAGGGAGAUUAAUAAGCACAACACAGGUGGUGCAUGGUUGUCGUCAGCUCGUGUCGUGAGAUGUUGGGUUAAGUCCCGCAACGAGCGCAACCCUUGUCUUUAGUUACCAUCAUUAAGUUGGGGACUCUAGAGAGACUGCCGGUGAUAAACCGGAGGAAGGUGGGGAUGACGUCAAAUCAUCAUGCCCCUUAUGACCUGGGCUACACACGUACUACAAUGGCGCAUACAACGAGCUGCGAGAUGGUGACAUCAAGCGAAUCUCUUAAAAUGCGUCUCAGUUCGGAUUGGAGUCUGCAACUCGACUCCAUGAAGUCGGAAUCGCUAGUAAUCGCGGAUCAGCAUGCCGCGGUGAAUACGUUCUCGGGGUUU